AGAUUUUGAUCCUGGCUCAGGAUGAACGCUGGCGGCGUGCUUAACACAUGCAAGUCGAACGAAGCGCCUGUAACGGAGUCUUCGGACAAAGAUACAGAUGACUUAGCGGCGGACGGGUGAGUAACGCGUGGGUAACCUGCCAUAUACAGGGGGAUAACAGUUAGAAAUGACUGCUAAUACCGCAUAAGCGCACAGUUUCGCAUGGAACGGUGUGAAAAACUCCGGUGGUAUAUGAUGGACCCGCGUCUGAUUAGCUAGUUGGUGAGGUAACGGCCCACCAAGGCGACGAUCAGUAGCCGACCUGAGAGGGUGACCGGCCACAUUGGGACUGAGACACGGCCCAAACUCCUACGGGAGGCAGCAGUGGGGAAUAUUGCACAAUGGGGGAAACCCUGAUGCAGCGACGCCGCGUGAGCGAAGAAGUAUUUCGGUAUGUAAAGCUCUAUCAGCAGGGAAGAAAAUGACGGUACCUGACUAAGAAGCCCCGGCUAACUACGUGCCAGCAGCCGCGGUAAUACGUAGGGGGCAAGCGUUAUCCGGAUUUACUGGGUGUAAAGGGAGCGUAGGCGGCAUGGCAAGUCAGAAGUGAAAAUCCGGGGCUCAACCCCGGAACUGCUUUUGAAACUGUCAGGCUUGAGUGUCGGAGAGGUAAGUGGAAUUCCUAGUGUAGCGGUGAAAUGCGUAGAUAUUAGGAGGAACACCAGUGGCGAAGGCGGCUUACUGGACGAUAACUGACGCUGAGGCUCGAAAGCGUGGGGAGCAAACAGGAUUAGAUACCCUGGUAGUCCACGCUGUAAACGAUGAAUGCUAGGUGUGGGGGUGCAAACCUCCGUGCCGGAGUUAACGCAAUAAGCAUUCCACCUGGGGAGUACGGCCGCAAGGUUGAAACUCAAGGAAAUCGAGGGGAGCCCGCACAAGCAGUGGAGUAUGUGGUUUAAUUCGACGCAACGCGAAGAACCUUACCAGGUCAUGACAUCCCGAGAACCCGGCGUAAUGGCAGGGGUGCCCUUCGGGGAAUUCGGAGACAGGUGGUGCAUGGUUGUCGUCAGCUCGUGUCGUGAGAUGUUGGGUUAAGUCCCGCAACGAGCGCAACCCUUAUUGUCAGUUACUAACGGGUAAGGCUGAGGACUCUGACGAGACUGCCGGGGACAACUCGGAGGAAGGUGGGGACGACGUCAAAUCAUCAUGCCCCUUAUGACCUGGGCUACACACGUGCUACAAUGGUGGUAACAAAGAGGAGCGAGCCCGUAAGGGUAAGCGGAUCUCAAAAAAGCCAUCUCAGUUCGGAUUGUGGGCUGCAACCCGCCCACAUGAAGUUGGAGUUGCUAGUAAUCGCGAAUCAGCAUGUCGCGGUGAAUACGUUCCCGGGCCUUG
rnacentral:rRNA from 1 species